rnacentral:rRNA from 1 species
GACAGAGGGUGCAAACGUUGUUCGGAUUCACUGGGCGUAAAGGGUGCGCAGGCGGCCAAGUGUGUUAGGCGUGAAAGCCUGGGGCUUAACCCCAGAAUUGCACCUAAAACUACAUGGCUAGAGCAUUGGAGAGGGUAGCGGAAUUCACGGUGUAGCAGUGAAAUGCGUAGAUAUCGUGAGGAACACCAGAGGCGAAGGCGGCUACCUGGACAAUUGCUGACGCUCAGGCACGAAAGCGUGGGGAGCAAAAGGG